rnacentral:rRNA from 1 species
CCUAGGGUGGCAGCAGUGAGGAAUAUUGGUCAAUGGGCGAGAGCCUGAACCAGCCAAGUCGCGUGAGGGAUGACGGUCCUAUGGAUUGUAAACCUCUUUUGUCGGGGAACAAAGGCGUCCACGUGUGGACUGAUGAGUGUACCCGAAGAAAAAGCAUCGGCUAACUCCGUGCCAGAAGCCGCGGUAAUACGGAGGAUGCGAGCGUUAUCCGGAUUUAUUGGGUUUAACGGGUGCGUAGGCGGACAGUCAAGUCAGCGGUAACAAUGCGGUGCUCAACGCCGUACAGCCGUUGAAACUGGCAGUCUUGAGUGGGCGAGAAGUAUGCGGAAUGCGUGGUGUAGCGGUGAAAUGCAUAGAGAUCACGCAGAACUCCGAUUGCGAAGGCAGCAUACCGGCGCCCUACUGACGCUGAGGCACGAAAGCGUGGGUAUCGAACAGGAUUAGAUACCCGAGUAGUC